GUUGAAUGAAGAUCAUUGAAUAAAGAAAAUGUCGAUGCUCCUGAAGAUUUGGAGGAGCAUCCUAAUGAUGAGGAAGAGGUGGAGGGAAUUGAUCUGCACCAGCAACGUUACCCGUGGGAGGGAAGUGACAUGGAUUACUUAUACGACGAGGUAAGCAUAUCAUUAGAUGGUUUGCGGUCCAUCUUUGAGAGCCGUCGAUUGUAAGUGUCUAUCGUUUUGAAGUUGUACGACACUAAAAUGUAAAGAAUUACUAAUCACGAUUACCUUACUAGCAGAGUUUUUUUUGCACAGCUAUUGUCAAUGGAAUUAACACUGGAAAUUGAUGGUGCUAUAUUUCAUGUUCCAAAUGCUAACGCAAGCUCCAAUGUUGAUUCUCAGCUUUAACAUGCCAAAAUCACAAUGCAGUGGGUGUUGUAAGGAACCGUUUGUAAAUAAAUGUCUCGGAUGUAUAUGACUGCUUAGUUUGUUGCUUUUGACAGUGAAAUCACUAAACUUGCAAUGUGUCAGGACAUCAAAAGCAUCUCAGCUGAUGGUUAACUUUACAAUUUCGUUGGUUUCUUUUUCCUAUUAUGUUGGAUGAAUUAUUUUAGCUAACAAAAAUCGCAACAGAGCGCUGGCAAUAACUCUAAUAGAUUUAUAUAUACAUUUAGAAUUGGAAGUUUGGUGAGAACAGGAACAAGUACUUCUGUCACGCUAUUGGACAGUUAUACGCCAUUUCAAUAGAAUUGAUUUCUUAUAUUUCCCAUAAUCAGUAAGAUUUUAACUGUUUUGUCUACUUUGCAUUCAUACCUCAUUCUCCAUCUAACUUCUCGGUGCUACUAUAUAAUGAUCAAGUCAUUUUCUGCACAAAUAGGCAAGUGGGGAUGUUAAGUUGGGUGCUUGGUUUAUUUGGCUUGGCUAUACAAAGUCUGUUGUGACUCUAAAACUUUUACCUCAUUUAACAUUGAUUCUGGUUCUUGGGAGAAUUGCAGAUUGUGAAUGAAAGGCACAAGCAGGAAACAUAUGUGUAGCUGCGUUCGACUCGACAUUUAGCGGUAUCUGCAGAUCCGCUGAUCCCAUUGUGGAAAUUAACAUGCAAUGUGUUGACCUGUAAAUCAUUAUUUGGAAGUUACAUUUUGAGGCAUUUCCUCAACAUAUAUAUAGACCAUAGACAGAGUUUGAUAUUUAUAAUACUCAGUGAUCAUGGAGUCUGCAGAAAACAGUCAUUUUGCAUAUUCUAUAUGGAACCAAGAGAUAUGUCCUUUGUUUGAUGGUUGUAUUAUGAUAGCUACUAACAUAGGAGAUGACUAGAGAAAGAGAAAUGAGUAUGAAACUCUUAUAUGGUAGCUUUUGUAAACACAUUUGGGUUUAUUAACAGUUGUAACAAACAAUUAUGUUUAUAGUAAAGGAAACCCGCCGCAGCGUCAAUAACAAAUGCGCCUGUUUUUUUGUUGUUUGGGAUUGAAGUAGCUUAUGAGUUUUCUAAAUCAAUAUAAUUGAUUUGAAUAAAGCUAUCUUGGAUGACAAAAAGAAGGAUUGCAAGUUUAAUAACUUCUACUUUAGACUUUAAUUUUAACUAAAUUAUAAUCAGUCUUUUAUCCAUAUCAUCUUAAUUAUAAUCGUAAGGAUUUAUUAGAAUAAAUAAACAGUUUCAACAAUAUUUAAUAUGUGAUUUAAUAAACAAAAGAACACGUAGGAUUUUUAGGAUUUAAAGAGAUUGGAGACAAUAGUUAAUGAAUAUGAAAAGAAUACGAAGCAGAUGAUGAAAAAUGAUUCGAGCAAAUUAGUGGCAA